GCUGCUGUACCAGCGGUGCUGCUAUGUUGCUCUGCCCUCAACCAUCCAAAUCAUUUAUACCAGACCCAAUCUUCCACUGCCAUCUCAUACAUAUGCAGGAAGAAGAUGGUUUAAUAUAUUGGUGUCAGAGCGCUUGUUGCAAUAACCGUCAAAUCUUGAUUGUAUUAUAUUGAUCGGACCAAGCACUUUUUGGAUAAAUUAGCAUGAAGUGAUCAGGAGCAGAGAAAUAGAUAUGUCUUGAAGAAAUGGAUAUAUAUGGUUUUAAGGUUACAUGAAGAUAUAUAUGUCUGGAUCAAGUUGAGUACUGAGGGAAUUGCGUGAACCUGACA